AUAAAUGUGGACUAAUAGACUCGGACACCGGCCUCCUAAGCCGGGGAUUGCGGGUUCGAGUCCCGCCGGAGGUUAUA
rnacentral:tRNA from 1 species